rnacentral:rRNA from 1 species
GAUGAACGCUGGCGGCGUGCCUAAUACAUGCGAGUCGAGCGAACGGACGAGAAGCUUGCUUUUCUGAUGUUAGCGGCGGACGGGUGAGUAACACGUGGAUAACCUACCUAUAAGACUGGGAUAACUUCGGGAAACCGGAGCUAAUACCGGAUAAUAUUUUGAACCGCAUGGUUCAAAAGUGAAAGACGGUCUUGCUGUCACUUAUAGAUGGAUCCGCGCUGCAUUAGCUAGUUGGUAAGGUAACGGCUUACCAAGGCAACGAUGCAUAGCCGACCUGAGAGGGUGAUCGGCCACACUGGAACUGAGACACGGUCCAGACUCCUACGGGAGGCAGCAGUAGGGAAUCUUCCGCAAUGGGCGAAAGCCUGACGGAGCAACGCCGCGUGAGCGAUGAAGGUCUUCGGAUCGUAAAACUCUGUUAUUAGGGAAGAACAUAUGUGUAAGUAACUGUGCACAUCUUGACGGUACCUAAUCAGAAAGCCACGGCUAACUACGUG